AUGGGUAGCAACACACAGCCGCAGGUCCCUCCGGGUUUUCGGUUCCACCCGACUGACGAGGAGCUCGUGGACUACUACCUCCGCAAGAAGGUGGCGUCCAGAAGGAUCGACCUAAACGUCAUCAAGGAUGUUGAUCUCUACAAGAUAGAGCCAUGGGAUCUCCAAGAGAAAUGCAGGAUAGGGCCUGAGGAGGAGCAGAGCGACUGGUACUUCUUCAGCCACAAGGACAAGAAGUACCCGACAGGGACUCGGACAAACCGCGCUACCGCGGCGGGUUUCUGGAAGGCGACGGGGAGGGACAAACCCAUCUAUGCAAAGCACUGCCUGGUUGGCAUGAGGAAGACCCUGGUGUAUUACAAGGGCAGAGCUCCCAAUGGCCAGAAAUCCGACUGGAUCAUGCAUGAGUACCGCCUCGAGACCAAUGAGAAUGGCCCUCCACAGGAAGAAGGGUGGGUAGUAUGCAGGGUGUUCAAGAAGAGAUUACCAACAACAAGAAGGGACCUAGACCAUGAUGCGCCAUGUUGGUACAUCGAUGACGAUGGGCCCUUCAUGCAUGACCUCAACUCUCCCAUGAGAGGAAUGCCGCCUCACCACAGCAUGGCACUGCAAGAACAACACCUCCAGAUGCUCAACAGCACCUACAAGAGGGAGCUGAAGCUGCAAUACCAAAUGCCAAACCAUCAUCAUGUUCUCAACACCAUUCCUCACGAGCUAGAGAGCCCUUCUUCCUUCCACUCUCUUUUGGUAUCGCCAGACGAUCACCAAAUCAAUGUGCACCAUGCCCAGCACCACCAUGUUCAACUUAUUGACCAUGCCGUCGACGACCAAGCUGCCACCGACUGGAGAGUUCUGGACAAGUUCGUCGCGUCUCAGCUUAGUAACGAUGCGGCCAAGGGUGUCGAUUAUGCUCAUGAAGGAGACAUUCUUCAGCUCAACGAGAAGGCGCAAGAGUUGGCAACUGAUUACGCGUCGACCUCAACAUCGAGCAGUCAAGUUGAUCCAUGGAAGUGA
rnacentral:rRNA from 1 species